rnacentral:rRNA from 1 species
UACGGAGGGUGCAAGCGUUAUCCGGAUUCACUGGGUUUAAAGGGUGCGUAGGCGGGUUGGUAAGUCCGUGGUGAAAUCUCCGAGCUUAACUCGGAAACUGCCGUGGAUACUAUCAAUCUUGAAUAUCGUGGAGGUAAGCGGAAUAUGUCAUGUAGCGGUGAAAUGCUUAGAUAUGACAUAGAACACCAAUUGCGAAGGCAGCUUACUACACAAUGAUUGACGCUGAGGCACGAAAGCGUGGGGAUCAAACAGG